rnacentral:rRNA from 1 species
GUACCGGGGCAAGCGUUGUCCGGAUUUAUUGGGCGUAAAGAGCGUGUAGGCGGCCAGGUAGGUCAGCUGUGAAAACUCGAGGCUCAACCUCGAGACGUCGGUUGAAACCAUCUGGCUAGAGUCCGGAAGAGGAGAGUGGAAUUCCCGGUGUAGCGGUGAAAUGCGCAGAUAUCGGGAAGAACACCCGUGGCGAAGGCGGCCCUCUGGGACGGUACUGACGCUGAGACGCGAAAGCGUGGGGAGCGAACAGGAUUAGAUACCCUGGUAGUCCACGCCGUAAACGAUGGGUGCUAGGUGUGGGGGGUGUCGACUCCCCCCGUGCCGAAGCUAACGCAUUAAGCACCCCGCCUGGGGAGUACGGCCGCAAGGCUA